ACACAACCAGACGUGUGAGUGAUUUAGAACAAAAAACGGUCUGACUGGUAUAAAAUAUUCUAGUCAUCUGGUGCGGUUGCUUUCUAAGUUUCAGCUCAUGCUGCAAGGCAGAAAAACACGUUAUACAACCAAGUGGUGAAAUACUUCUAAAGUAGUUCAAUAUAGUUUACAACAAAUGAUAAUGAAAGUAAUCCAAGAGCCUAACAGGGAAUGUUAGGGGCGUGGACAACCAGCAGGGCCCCUUACUGGAUGAGAGGCGUGGCCAGAGCUAGGAUAUCUUAAAUAGGGGACUUUGAAGCUCUUGGGCUCAUUGACGCACCUCACAAGGAUUCCUGGGAGCAUUUGAGCUCAAAUUCACUUGUGCUGUGGUCAAGACUUCAGAUUAAGUUGCUGCUGCAAGGUGUCUUCUGUCAUCGCUCUUGUCAGACUGCGGUUUAACAACAGUAUCUCCCCUGAGGCGACUCUGUGCCAACCCACCAGCUGGUCGACACCUGUUGCACAAACGAACUGCUACCUAAGUUAGAAAUAUACCACAAAGAUGGGAAAUACUAUAGCAGAAGACCGGGACGACAUGAGAUGUCACGACUGUCAUAGAAAAUUGUCUGCAUGUCAUAAUGAUAAUGAUAUAAAAAAAAAAUGCGUAAAUGGGCAAGACGUCUUUGAGUUCAAGGGAGGGGAAUACUACAGACCACAGGGUAGAGAUUAUACAUAUAGCUGCAGAGAAUGCUUUUAUAAGCCAUACUUGGAAGCAAAACUGAGAGGAAAUAA